rnacentral:lncRNA from 1 species
AAUUAAUUAUAAAAAAUAAUUUAAUUUUUUAAUUAAUUCAUUUAUUCUUUAUAAUUAAUUAUUAAUAUUUUAAUAUAUUUAUUUAUAAAUUAAUAUUUAUAUUGAUCAACCAUUAAUAUUUUUAUUAAUCUAAUUAAAUGUUUUUGUUAGUUAUCUACCUAAAAUAAUUUACUAACUAAUUAAAUUAUUAAAUAUAUUAAUUAUAUUAAUUAAUAAUUUAAUAACAUAAUUAAAAUUAAAUUUUAAUUUUAAUUAAACUUAUUUCUAGCUUGAGAACAAAUUUAUUUUAGAAAAAAGGGUGGAACAACAGUUCUAACCUUAUAACCAACCGUUACUAGCGCAAGUGGCAAAGAGCUUGGUGGUUGGUACCUGAGGUCCCGAGUUCGAAUUCUAGUUGAUUCACAUUUUCAGUUAAAUUUAUUUUUAAAUAAAAUAAACAAAACAGAUAGCACUACCUAUCUCUAAAAAAAAAAAAAGAUAAUAAUAAUUUUAAUCUUAUAUUAGCUUAUUUUAGAAAUUUAAGAAUUACAGUUCUCAAAUACCAAAUACAAUAAUUGAAAAUAAAUUUAAAAAUUACUGUUCUCAAAUACCAAAUACAAUAAUAAUUGAAAAUAAA